rnacentral:pre_miRNA from 1 species
AGUGUCCGGCCGUUGCUUUCGCUGCCGACUGCCGAAUAAUAAUAUAUUAUUAUUUUUCGGCAGUCGGCAGCGAAAGCAACGGCCGGACACU